rnacentral:misc_RNA from 1 species
CGCACCUUGCGCCUUUUGGUAUUCCGAAAGGCAUGCCUGUUUGAGUGUCAUGAAAUCUCAAUCCCCUCGGGUUUUUUAAAUGACCUGGGUGGGACUUGGACGUGGGUGUCUGCCGCAGCCUUGUUCUGCGGCUCACCUGAAAUGACUGAGUGGGAUUAACAUCCAUGAUCAAGACGUAAUAAGUUUCGUCUGGUCCGGUGUGAGGCCUGCUAACAACCCUCAUUAUUUUUGACUCUGACCUCAAAUCAGGUAGGGCUACCCGCUGAACUUAA